ACCACAUCCAUUAUUUUUUCGUGUCUAAAACAUUUUUAUUUGGCAGUUUAUACCUCUAGGCUAUAUUAAUAUUCUAAUCAAAUGAUGUGUUGCACGUUGCAACCUUUCCUUCUCUAAUUGUUUUGCAAUGUAUCUUUGUUCCUCUUUAUAUGCUUUGUAUCCACAUAAGCAAGUCUUUGUACAUAUUGGCUUCCCAGAAAACUAUCUUGUUUGUUGAUAUAUAAGAAUUCAGGGGGCCUGUGUUAGGUUCCCCUCAAUCUUUAACAUACUAACAUGUAAUGUAUAGAUGGAUCAAAUUCAAUUUUUGGAUUAUGUUUGUAUAUAAAUACAUAAAUAAGUAGAUAUAUUUAGGUCAGUACUGUAGAGGCAUCAAGACUUUUUACUAUUUUCAAUUUUGACUGCAUUUUUCCUUGCCCUCUUGUCUUUGCUUUGUUCUAACUUGUGAAUCAUGAUACAAGUGCCUUGCUAUCUUUUUUCUUCUUGCUGUGUCAUUCAUCUUAUUUGCACUUUCAAUCAGAUAGAACGUGGUGAUUGUGAGAAUUGCAUUUUGAGUUUCAAAAGAAAACAUGGGGAAAUCAUAUUGUAUUUUAUUUCCAUAUGUUUUCUUAAUGGGCAGAACAAUCUUUCGUUUCAGGCAUAACAAUAACUAUUAUGG
rnacentral:misc_RNA from 1 species